rnacentral:misc_RNA from 1 species
GUGCUGGAAAAAAUAAACC